rnacentral:rRNA from 1 species
CACUAUAGUACCAGGCAAUUCUAUACUUCUAUAGAACCUUUUAUGUUAAAACUAGUAACAAGAAGUACCCCUUCUCUUUAAUGCGAGCAUAAAUCAGCUAGGACCAACCACUGAUAAUUAACACCAUUGAGUCAACAGUAGAAACACCACAAGAAAACCCUACUACACAUUAUUGUUAACCUAACACAAGAGCAUUACAAGAAAGAUUAAAAGAAAAAGAAGGAACUCGGCAAACAUUAACCCCGCCUGUUUACCAAAAACAUCGCCUCUUGAUAAACACAUAAGAGGUCCAGCCUGCCCAGUGACUCUGUUCAACGGCCGCGGUAUCCUAACCGUGCGAAGGUAGCGUAAUCACUUGUUCUUUAAAUGAGGACUAGUAUGAAUGGCACCACGAAGGUUAUACUGUCUCCUUUUUCUAAUCAGUGAAACUAAUCUUCCCGUGAAGAAGCGGGAAUAAUAAUAUAAGACGAGAAGACCCUAUGGAGCUUUAAACAGAUAUACAAUUGCCUCCAAUACAAAAAAUUUCAGAAAAUAAAUACCCAUCCAGGCAUUUUGAUAUAAAGUUUUCGGUUGGGGUGACCACGGAGCAAAAAAUAACCUCCGCAAUGAAAGGGAAUUUUACCCUAAACCCAGGGCUACGACCCUAAGUAUCAAUAAUUUGACACUAAUUGACCCAAUACACUUGAUCAAUGAACCAAGUUACCCUAGGGAUAACAGCGCAAUCCAUUUCAAGAGCUCCUAUCGACAAAUGGGUUUACGACCUCGAUGUUGGAUCAGGGUAUCCCAGUGGUGCAGCCGCUACUAACGGUUCGUUUGUUC